UACGUAGGGGGCAAGCGUUGUCCGGAAUUAUUGGGCGUAAAGCGCGUGUAGGCGGCUUGAUAAGUCCGCUGUGAAAACUCGAGGCUCAACUUCGAGCUGUCGGUGGAAACUUGCUGGCUAGAGUCCGGAAGAGGAGAAUGGAAUUCCUGGUGUAGCGGUGAAAUGCGCAGAUAUCAGGAAGAACACCCGUGGCGAAGGCGGUUCUCUGGGACGGUACUGACGCUGAGACGCGAAAGCGUGGGGAGCGAACAGG
rnacentral:rRNA from 1 species